rnacentral:lncRNA from 1 species
CAGUGUUGAUGGUUGGGUUGAGACACAUUCAGGAGCAAGACAUGAGGUUAAUAAUUAUCAAAUAUAUGGCAAUGCUAGACUUUAGUUGAUCAUCGUGCUUCUGGAAAAUAACAAAAGUUGAGAUAUCUGUUCACCAUUUUGUGUGUCCAAGGACCACCUACUUUUUACAUAUGACAAGAACUACCCACCUCCACUCUUCAGGACAGAACAUGCUGGAGAAAAGAGUUACAAUGAGAAAAUAUAUGGGAACAAAAUACCUAUGCAAUGCAGAAGUCUGCAUAACUAAACCACUCAGAGGAAAAAAUUUCCCUCCCAGGCUGGAGUACAAUGGCGCAAUCUCAGCUCACGUCAACUUCUACCUCCCAGGUUCAAGCAAUUCUCCCACUUCAGCCUCCUUAGUAGCUGGGAUGACAGGCGCCUGCCACCAGUCCCAGCUAUUUUUGUAUUUUUAGUAGAGAUGGGGUUUCACCAUGUUGGCCAGGCUGGUCUCAAACUCCUGACCUCAGUCCAUCCGUCCACCUCGGCCUCCCAAAGUGCCAGGAUUGCAGGCAUGAGCCACCACGCCUGGCCUCAAGUUUAAUUCUUAAAUUGCCAUUUCAGGACACCUCCUACAUCUGAAGAAAUAUGUAUUGAUCUUGAAAUAUUUUUCUCCUCCAAAUAAAAGUCAGUAUGAUAACAACUACACUAUCAGAAGUCUAAGCCAAAGGACACUUCAGUUAUCCAAUCUUGCAACAAAGUCAUUUAAGCACCUAAUAUGGGCUACUGUUGGCACUAGGGGCAUUGAGAACUUCAGAUUUGAUUAACACCCAAGAGCUGCUACCAUAAAAUAAACUAGGCAGCUACUAGGC